CAAAUCAGGAUAAAUGUCUGAUGAGGAAGAUCAGCUUCCCCAUCCCACUCAGGCGUCAUGUUGAUGUGACGCUCACCUUGGCUAACAUUUUCUCCUGUGAGCAACGUGAAGUUCAAGACGUUAUGAAUGGCUUUUUGUUUUUCUUCCUUAGUCUUUCCACAUUCACUGUGUCUGGUGAGAUUAUAUGAAUCCUGCUUAUUUUCAGCCCAGCACUAAGCUUUUUAAAAGGAUCACGUGUUUAAAAGGCUAGUGGACAAUUUGUUAGAAGAUUGAAAUCCUUAGACUUUGGUCCUAGAGUUGAAUCUUGGUUACUGGUGAAUGAGAAUUCCCGUUAAAAUUUUAAAUUCAGUGAUAUAAAGUUUUAAAAAUAGUUAAAUAUUAGUCAAUUUCGUUAAACACUAUAGCAGUUAUUUACUUUUAAGCCUGUCUCUGGGGCAAUUUUGCAAUGAUUCCCUCCCUUUAUUGAUUCUCUCUUUAUCAGAAUCCUUGAGAGGUCCCUGUCAUCAUUGUCAGUAUCAUCAUCAUCAUCACCAUCAUCAUGGAACUGAUUCCUCUGGGAGAUUCUAGGAAAAUAAAGAGCUGGACGGGGUUAUGUGCAGCAUCCCAGACUGACGAAGACAGUGGAGAAUGCCUCUGAGUUUGGCACUGAUUGCCUGGAGAAUGCUGAAACCCAGGGAAGUGGGCAGCACAGACGUUUACUCAUUUAAUCCUGCCAACACAGUAGGAGAUAGAGUCUACAUAUUCCUCGCUACUUAAAAGAUCCCUGCCUUCUCUCUGCUCCUCCUGUCCAUGUCUCUC